CUAAGCGGUGGUUCAAAAAAUAGCAAAAGUGACAACCGGCAUGUUAUUAAUAGUAGUAAUAGUAAUAAUAGUUGUAGUAAUAAAAGCAGCAGUAGCAAAAGUAGCAGUAGCAAAAGUAGCAGUAGCAAAAGUAGCAGUAGCAAAAGUAGAAGUAGAAGUAGCAAAAGUAGAAGUAGAAGUAGCAAAAGUAGCAGUAGCAACAACAACAGUCGUAACAUCGGUGACGUAACAAGCCGGGACAACUUAACAAACGUGAAAAAUAUAAAAGUCUUUUGCAAACUAAAAAGUAAAUAUUAUCGCAUUAAAAAGUCACAGUACUCAUUUUUGAAAUAUAAAAUGAAUAUAAGUGACAAUAAAAGCAGAAGAAGAAAUAGAAGGAGUUAUUCAACGAAUUUGUUUGAAACAAUGUUAAAAGAAACGAAAAAAAUAAUUAUGUAUUUUAAAACUAAAGGCAAAGAAAUGAUAGAACAUUAUAAAAACAUGUUUCCAAACGUUAAUGUGAAACAUUGUUUGUAUGUGCUAUUAAUAUAUUUAUUUAUAAAUAUGGUAUUAUUAUUGUUUUGUACAUUUAUAUAUAUAUUUUUAUAUUUAUAUUAUGUCCCUCAAAAUAUGUUUAUAUACCCAAUUGAAUUUUCUUUAGUAAAGAAUCCGAUUGAAGAUUAUUUAAAGCAUAAUAAUUAUAAUAGUUAUAUAAAUAAAACCGAUUUUAUAAAAAAAAAUAUACAUGACUAUAAUAACCUGAACAAGUCAGAAAAAGAUGGUUCUUUAAAUUAUUUUAACUGUAUUAAAAAUGAAAUUAUAAAUGACAUAAAAAAUAAAAAUAUAUGCUGUGCAAAAUAUGUUAGCACUCCAUCAUUGCUUAAUAAUAAUGUAUCAAGCAAUGACACUAUGUUUUCUUCUUUUUCAAAUAACAAAAGUUAUAAUAUGGAAGAUGAAAAAAUAGACUAUUACAAAUAUUUGCAAAAUAAUAUAUUAAUAGGUAAAUUAAAUUUCGAUGAUUUUUCAAAAAAAAAUUACAUAUAUAAUAGUAGUAAUGGUUUUACCAAAUUUUUCAUACCCUUUUGGAAAAAAAAAAAUAUGAAUAAGCUUAGCAUAAAAAAAGGAAAUAUGAUUGACAUUUUUUUUAAUUAUUCUAAUAUGAACAAUGAGUAUAAUGACCACUUUAACUUUUAUUUUUUUGAACUUUUUAUUUUCAAAAAUUGUCAUAGUAGUGAUAGUAGUAGUAGUAGUAGUAGUAGUACUAGCAGUAGUAGUAGUACUAGUAGUAGUAGUAGUAGUAGUAGUGGUAGUGAUAAAAAUUGUAAUGAAGACAACGAUAGAAACUUAAUUUUAAAAAAAGGAAAACUACAUAAUAAUAACAAAAGUUACAAUUUUAUAAACCAGCUACAUAAAUUUGUUAACACCCCUUUUUAUUUCUUUAACAUAUUUAAUCAAAAAAACACACAAAUACGGUUAUUAAGUAAUUAUGAAUAUGUAACAGAAUUUAAAAAAAUGGAAUUAUAUAUAUACCCACCUAUACAAUUAUAUGACGCUCAGAUAGUUAUA
rnacentral:lncRNA from 1 species